rnacentral:sRNA from 1 species
GCCUUCCCUUGUGUAACGACAGCAUCCCACAGAGGACAAAGGAAACUUUGAAGAACUAGUAACGGACGAAUAAAGCUUGGCUUUAACAGGAAUAACUGGAAGAAGCAGUGAGGUACGGGCCACGGCAGAUGACACUCAGGCCAUGGCAGAUGACACAGUUAUCUCGAGUCUCACCAAAGGAAAGAGGUGCAGCAAAUGCUCAAAGUACGUCUGGGAACGUAGUGUUACUCAGAAGUCUUCAAAGAAACAGAAACACAGGAACUGAGCCUGGAGCGAAAGCGUAUUACCACAGGCACAGGCAUGUAGAAGACGCCAGUGCCUUGGCCUCAAGAGAUGGCCAAGCAUCCCUCUGGUUCAAAUACUAGUGUUCACCAAUGCCUGACCUACAGGAAUGUGCAAAAGCUAGCACCUGCAGCAUCUUCCUCACAGAUGACUGUACUCUUGAGACUGCUCCCCUCUGAGACCUUCCAAGGCUAGCUAACGCCUAUCCUAACUCAUGCUUGUACAUGACAAACUCCCUCAGGUUUUAGGUUGCAUCAUUGGUGUCCCUCCGUCAGAAUGAUUCCAGACUUCCUGUACACGUGUUUGUUCUUUCUUCAUUAUCUUAUCACCCUAGUCAGGGUUCCAGACUACCCUGUGCAGUAUUAGGUGCAGAGUUCAAAAGAUGGAUGUGUAUGUCUGCACGCAGCACGUGUGUGCAUGCGUGUGUGUACACACUGAUAGAUUUUAAGGCACUGACUUGUGUAAUCACGGAGCAGCAAGUCUGAAUUCUGCAGGGGGCUGGCAGACAGUGGUCCAGGCAAUGCUGUUACUGUGGCUGACAUCCAAAGUGGCUGACAUGCAAAGGCAGGGGAGGAUCCUCACUAGGAAGGCCUCAGUCCUUUAUCUUAAAGCCCUCCGGUGACUGGUUGAGGCCCACCCACAUGACAGGGAAUGCACUGUGUCUCCUGAGUUGAAUGCUAAUGUUACUGAAGAAGCGCCUUCACAAUCAGGCUGUUAAUGGACAGACAUCUAGGUACCCCGGCCUAGUCAGGAUGAGUCAUCAAAGCAACCUGCACACUCACAGAGGCAUCUAAAGCACCGCACCUCUUUCCCAACACUGCUUGGGCUGCAGCCCACAAACCACCAGCUUACAGAUUCAUCACUAGUCAAUUCAAAGUCGCAGGAAUUUAUAUAGAAGUGAGCUGUUUAAUCUUUAAACAUUUGGGAUGUCUCUCUCUUUUUGUGGCACAGUUCUAAUUCUUCAGUACCAAAGAUCCCUUUAUUGUCUAGUUCUGUUGUCUGUUUUAAUCAGAAGAAUUUUGUAUACUGACCUAUUUCAAGGUGGGGCCUUAUGGGAGGCAGCAGGUUAGUGGGGGCCAUGCCUCUCAAGGGCUUCGCUUGCCCCUGGCUCCUUCUUAGCUAUCUCUCUGUCUGCUGUGAGGUACUCCACCCUGCUUCACCAUAUGCUCCCUGCACAGCGUGCCUCUCCUUGCAAGAACCAGCAACCGUCAAGUAACUACAGGCUGAAGCCUCCAAACACUCUGAGAGAGAAUAAAUCCUUCCCUCCUUCCUUUUUUGUGUUUUGUUGUUGCUGUUUGUUUGGUUUGUUUUUUGAGCUUCUUUGUCACCGUGAUAAAAACACACAGGGGCAGAGGGACUCUGUGCCCAAAGUGAUCCUGGUCACCCAAAAGCCAGAGAUGUUUGAUGUUCAGUGUGGUUUUACCACUUCCGAUGGUGGGGGCUCCACUACUCCCCCUGAAUCCAGUGCGUCUGAAAUCGCUGUUUAGCCCCUCACCUUCAGAGGGUUAUGCCUCAGCCAGGGCUUCCAGAACUUUGCCCUGCACAGAUGCAGCUUGAGGCUUGGCCAAGCGUAAUCCUUUGUAGAUUCCUGGAGGUUUGUCCUAGCAGCUCUGUUCUCCCUAGGUCCCUGCCCCAUCAACUGUCCCUCAGUCUGAUUUCUAGGAAGACAGCUGCUCUCGCUCUCUCUUUCAAUUGCUAUUUGGAAAGUCUUCAGGAAGACAAUGGGGGAAGGCUGUAGGACCCAAAGCUCAGCUCUCUGCUUCUCUUCCUUCAAGCAUCGAGUUCCUGCAUUAUCUGUGCUGGAUGCCUGAGAAGCCAGGGACUUUGACUCAUUAUCUAUGGCUCUUUGUGGCAGAAGGGUGAGGUCUGAGAUUCACACUCGGCUCCUCAGCUCAGCGUUCACUCUUACAUAACCCUUUGGAUCCCGACCCUGUCUAUGCCCCCAGAUUAUUAUCAGCUCUCCAAAGACGGUGGUGCCCUCCCCAGGCAUCUGUCUCCUCUGUUGGUAACACCUGCCUCACUCUGACCGCUUCCUGGUUUCUACUUGUCUUUCUGAAUCAGCUUACCUAUCAGUUAUUUUAGUACUUCAACCUCAUGUUCCCAUAGCAACCUGAGUCUCCCUCCCCCCUAUCCCCCAGCACCCCCUGCCAUCGGGAACAUUAUAAAAUUUUAUUGCAGUCUCCCUACUGAACAGAGACAGUGUCUGUCUGUUGGACCCCAAGUUCUGUGGCAGCAGUGUGUGAAUUAUCCUGCUUCAUUUUCAUAAACAUUAGUCACUGGCUAUUAUAGCACCUAGGAAAAGGCCGAUUACAGAUUUGGGCUAGCAAAAAUACUGGAUAAACCUGCUUUUACGACAGCCAGAGGGAACUGACUUGAAACUCUGCUAAUAAUUAGUAACCAAUCCACACAGACUUUGCUAUUAUGGCUCUGGCUGUCCCCAACUGCCCUCUAACGAUGUAAUAGCCGUGGCCGUUUUUCUCACUUCAGUCACACGCCUGCCUCCCUCUUCUCAUCCUUCUCUGCUGCCUCUGCCAAGAGAACCGUAUACAUCUAUGUAUGUGCACACAUAGACAUUGAUAUAUGUAUUUAUCUGUGCAGUGAAGCUAGGUAAUUACUAAAAAUAUCAUCAAACUCCUAUCUCAAGGAAAUGUAAUUCUUGACAUUUUCAUAAGCAAUGGUUUCCUGAAAACUCAGCAUCAAGUUUCAGCUCCAAGGGGCAUUCUUUUGAGGCGGCCGGCCAUGGAGGAGUGGGAGGAGAGGCAGGCACUGGGGAGAGGGAGGCGGGCACUGGGGAGUGGAAUUACAUUCUCACAUUGUAUUGUAGAAACUCAGUAAUGAAAUCUCAGGUACAAUCCUGACUGGACAACUGAGAAUAAAUAAAUGAGUCAAAACUAAA